GUAAUCAUGUUUUGUGUUUUGUGCUGUGUGCAGUUGUGCAAUUUUGGAAAAUGCUUGACUGCAGUCAGAGACUGCUCGACUCCAAUUAAUAAUUAACAUUUUUAUAUAAAUUCUCUUCGUACCUAAUUCUCCAGUUUCUCCUCUCAUUUGUUUUUAGAGUUAAAAAAAAGAAACUUGUAAGAAAGCUGUGAAACACUUGUAAACUGUAAAUGUAAAAUCAGGAAUAGUCGGUAAUGGAUGAAUAUUUAGCAAUUAAAAAUGAAAUUGUUUGCAAUGAUAAAUGCAAAUGCUGUUUAGGUGAGACUGAAUUACAGAAUAUUUGGGAGCAACACGAAUUUGAAGGAAAAAAUGAGACCUAUGGCCAAAUGUUGAGUGAAUGUUUCGGCAUUUCGUGGAAACCUUCAAAUAAACCAGAGUGGAUCUGUAAUAUUUGUGUUUCACGGUUGGGGGACGCAAUGGACUUUAAACGGGAGAUUUUAAUCACCCAGGAUAUACUACAAGAUGAUUUAUAUAUAAAUGUGAAAGUAGAGGAUGGUGAAGACUCUGCUUCUCAAGUGGAUAAGUAUGAAGAUGUGGAUAAGUAUGAAGAUGUGGAGUACCUUGAAGAUAACCCAGAAUAUGAACCUGAGAAUAACAUACCCUCAAGUGCCCAAGGAUCAACGCGAGUGAAACGCAAGCCAAAGUACCCUAAAAGACUUCCAAGGCAUCGUAGGAACAAGACAUACAAGCAAUACACAAAAAACGAUCUCGAAGAGGCAGUGCUUAGCGUUCUAUGUGGGGAAAUGGAGGCUGCGGAUGCCGCGAGGUUGUACAGUAUACCCAAGGCCACAUUGCAUGCUAAAGUCAAUGAGUCAAUGGAGGCUAAGGAAGAUGAAGCCAAACCGCCCAACAAUGACAAGUACUACAAACUGAUAGAAGACAUCCAAAAAAUCAUGAAGUACACCAACGCUAUACCGUUCAGGACGAGAGCAGUGAAUAGAUACUACUGCUUCUACUGUCCAUCAGACGGCCCGUUCUUCUUAGACCCAGACGAGUUGCGCUCCCAUACACAUACUAAACAUGGCAUCGAAAAGAUCUACAGCAUUGAACGGUUCAUGAAGCCUCCAUUCAUGUACGAAGUCGUCAAAAUGGAUAUUUACGACUUGCACUGUACAGAGUGCCAUAUCCCAGUGCCGGACUGGAAUAAAAUGUUUGUGCAUUUCGCCGAAACACACAAAAUUGGCUUCGACGAGGCGUACACAAAAAUUAUACCAUACUCUCUGGCCUCCAAUUUGAAAUGUGUUCUGUGUAACGAGGACUUCCCCAAUUACGGACACCUGGACGCCCAUAUGAAUCAGCACUACAGUAACCACAUAUGCUACGAGUGUGGGGACACAUUUUUAGCCGCACACCGCUUGGAUAAACAUUUGAAAGUGCACAAAAUUGGGAGUUAUCCGUGUAAGCUGUGCAACAAGGAGUUCAAGAUGAAGAGGUACUUGUCCAAGCAUUUCACUUUAGUGCACAGGCAGGAGCGUAAGUGUAAGUGUUUGUAUUGCGAUGAGAAGUUUGUGGACCAGUUCAACCGGCACAAGCAUGUGACGGAGGCCCACAAGGACAAAGUGCAGACCAUCACGUGUGAAGUGUGCGGCAAAAUGUUCACGUGGAAGUCCUACUAUGUGGCGCAUAUGCGCAAACGACACAGAGGUGAAAAGAAGCUCAAAUGCCAGUACUGCCCUAAAAUGUUUCUGAUGCCGUACGAAUUGACCAACCAUCUGGUGGUGCACACCGGUGUCAAGAAUUUUGUCUGUCUGUGCGGAGAGAGUUUCAAGAGGUCUAACGAUUUGAGGAAACAUGUUCAAGCCGAGCACGAAGAUGGAAAGAUGAUUAUUGGUGAAUAAAAUAUUGAUAUAGAUAGAUAGUAGAGACUCGAUUCUUUAAAUCCAUACUUAAUAUUAUAAAUGCGAAAGUGUGUCUGUCUGUCUGUCUGCUACCUUUUCAUGGCCCAACAGUUUAACCGAUUCUGACGAAAUU